UAGGGAAUUUUCGGCAAUGGGGGGAACCCUGACCGAGCAACGCCGCGUGAACGAAGAAGUUAUUCGUAAUGUAAAGUUCUUUUAUCAGGGAAGAAAGAGGAAUUUGACGGUACCUGAGGAAUAAGCUCCGGCUAACUACGUGCCAGCAGCCGCGGUAAUACGUAGGGAGCGAGCGUUAUCCGGAAUUAUUGGGCGUAAAGGGUGCGUAGAUGGCAUAGUAAGUCUUUUGUAAAAAUGCUGGGCUCAACCCAGUAGGGCAAAAGAUACUGCAAAGCUAGAGUAUGACAGAGGCAAGUGGAACUA
rnacentral:rRNA from 1 species